AUUGAACGCUGGCGGCAUGCCUUACACAUGCAAGUCGAACGGUAACAGGUCUUCGGAUGCUGACGAGUGGCGAACGGGUGAGUAAUACAUCGGAACGUGCCUAGUAGUGGGGGAUAACUACUCGAAAGAGUGGCUAAUACCGCAUGAGAUCUACGGAUGAAAGCAGGGGAUCGCAAGACCUUGUGCUACUAGAGCGGCCGAUGGCAGAUUAGGUAGUUGGUGGGAUAAAAGCUUACCGAGCCGACGAUCUGUAGCUGGUCUGAGAGGACGAUCAGCCACACUGGGACUGAGACACGGCCCAGACUCCUACGGGAGGCAGCAGUGGGGAAUUUUGGACAAUGGGCGAGAGCCUGAUCCAGCAAUGCCGCGUGCAGGAUGAAGGCCUUCGGGUUGUAAACUGCUUUUGUACGGAACGAAAAGCCCCGGGUUAAUACCCUGGGGUCAUGACGGUACCGUAAGAAUAAGCACCGGCUAACUACGUGCCAGCCGCCGCAGUAA
rnacentral:rRNA from 1 species